UUUUAUAUUGACUACAUGAUGUUAGAUGGACUAGGUUAGUUAGUUAGUAAGUUAGGAAAGUUAGAAAAGCAGCCUCAGUUUAAAAUGUUUCCACCAUCAUUAUUUGCAAUUCAUAAGACGUCCAACUCGUCUACACAGUUUAUGAUAAACAUUCACUUUCAAGCCAGUAAAAUGUAUCAUAGAGUCAAAGCUCUGACAUCAAAUGAUAACAUCUGCAGAGACUGAAGUAUAAAAAGUGUAUUACAGUGUUCAUUCAUUACAGUUUGGUUGCUUGGAGGCAUUUUUGUUGACAAUCACCUGCAAAGCUUACAGUAGCAUUACCAUUUUGCUUCUUUGUACGUCAUCUUCCAUGCAUCAGGCAAAGCGAUAAGCAUAAGAACAAACCUGACCAGUAGGUUUCUGUUUUUGUGGCUCACAGUUACUAUCCAAGAUCAUUUGCAUUGCAGUUCCCCUUGAUUGUAAAUUUUGAAUGCAAAAUCGAAUGAUUUUAAAUUAAUCAAAUUUUGAUAUUUAAAUAGAAUAUUAAAUAAUCUUUUUUUCACCACUAAUUCCAAUCAACCAUCCAUAUAAGAAGUGAAUGUGUAUCAUUUCAUAUAAAAGGCUUUGGAAUAAUAGUGAAACAGCAGAAGCAGAGACUGACCUAGUCUUCAUUUCUUUUUCUUUUUUUUCCCUUUUUUUUUUUAUACAAAAAAGUUGUAUAGUACAGCUCACAAAAGUUAUAACUCUCUGUGCUUUCUUAAGGAAUACAUUGCUUCACUUCAAACUGGUAAAAUCGAAAUGUUUUUGUCCUUGAUAAUAAAUUGUGGUUGAUGCAUCACAUAUUGCUUUGAUCUUUUCAUUAUUGCUUCAUGAAUGUGCCCUUCAUGCUAUCAUACAGUCAUAGACAGAUGGCAUAAGACACAAACAAACACACACACACACACACACACACACACACAUACACAUACAGUCUCGUGAAAUGCAGCAGCAUUCAAUCUGAGCCACAUUGUUUAAUGAGUGAUUAUUUCUAUAUGUGAAUUUUGUCUUUUGCCUUUCUCCUUAAUAGAAUAUUCCAGCAUAAAUACAGCUAAAGCUCAUUUCAAACAUCUGUGGCAUGUUGUCAGACACACCAAAUAAUAAAUUUGUCCCUCUGUUAAUGCUUGUGCGCUACCGCUCUAACACCUGUAGGUGGCGUUUUCUCUAGGUAAAAGUCUCUUUCUGGACUCCUUGUAGAUACUGUGGAAAAGUUAACGUUUACUGGCUUCACAUGGUCAUGACAGGAUCUAAGAAAUUGGAUUUAACUGUACACAUCAAGCAGGCAGGUUCUGAGCACUUGAAGUCUCCAUGGUGAUUGGCACACCAUCAGUGCUUUGAAGCGUUUUUAGGUGUUUCCUGGAGAGAGUCAGGGUCUCCAUGGUGAUCUAGAGCUCAGCAUCACGCUUUCCAAAAAUGAAACGGACAGAGAAAGGGAAGAUGGAUGGAACGUGAAGUACUGGAGGGUGCUGUGGGUGGAGGACGCGUUCAAUCACAUGACAUUGCUGCUGAUACGGGACGAGGACAGGUGGAGGUUCCGGAGGUUUCCAGGUGUGCAGCUGCUGAUAUUUUAGUUAAUGUCAUAAAACUAGAGAGCUAAGCCAGUAGUAGUACUGACAGUGUCAUGUAAACAUCACUGAAGACGCAAAGAGUGGAGGAACAGACAAACUGAAUCAGUUGA